rnacentral:rRNA from 1 species
CCCUUAGAUGUUCUGGGCCGCACGCGCGCUACACUGAUGCAUUCAACGAGUCUAAAACCUGCUCUGAUAGGGGUGGGUAAUCUUUUGAAUGUGCAUCGUGAUUGGGAUAGAUGAUUGCAAUUUUUCAUCUUCAACGAGGAAUGCCUAGUAAACGCAAGUCAUCAGCUUGCAUUGAUUACGUCCCUGCCCCUUGUACACACCGCCCGUCGCUCCUACCGAUUGAAUGAUCCGAUGAAUAUCAUGGAUUGAGGAUGCAAGUAGGUUCGCCUAUCUUCAUCUUCGAGAAGUGAAGUAAAUCUUAUCAUUUAGAGGAAGGAGAAGUCGUAACA